AUGGCAGAGGAGGAGAAAAUGACAGAGGUGUUUGAUGUUGGUUGUGUCACAAAUGAGCAUGCAAGGGUUCCAACUCCCACAUAUCAAGGUGGCCCGGCUCAAGUCGAUUCGGAAGAUGAUUCUGGCUGUGAAUGUGAGCACGUCCAAGUUACACCUCUCCCGAAUCGUGUAAAGAGUAGGAAGAAGAGGGCAUGUCCUUAUUCGCGUAUGGUGGCAAGUGAGAUUGCUAAAAACAAGGCACUUGUGCGUUUGGUGGAAAUUUUUGAGGCGAGGGAAAAGAGAGUGACAAAUCAAAGUGCAAAAGAGAUUGUGGAUCCAACAAGACAGGAGAUUCAAGACGUGAUGGCCAUGGUGAUUGCAGACGGAGCCAAACCUGGGAGUGAUGAGCAUUUCUAUGCUUCACAUCUUUUGUUGGAAAAGAAGAAUCGUGAUGUUUUUACCUCGUUUAAGGGUCACAAACCUAGUGAGAGGCUUGCAUGGAUAAGGAGGAUGUGGGAGCUCAACAAUAAGUAG
rnacentral:rRNA from 1 species